UUUCAACUUAAUUUCAACUUAUUUCUCCUUACAGAGUGCAAUCUACUAGGUCACGUGACAGUUGAAUAUGAUGAGAGAGGAAACAGCUUAUAUGGGCUCAUUACAAGGGCUACACUCACUGCUCACGGUGACAUGAUGACUUCUACUGCUCCCCUCCUCUUGGCUUUAGCUUUUCUGUUUGGCAGGAGUUAUGGGCAGUCUGCUACCCAACCUGAAUCUCACCGUUCUGUGCUCCAGGGGGAAGCUGUGCAGCUCAACUGUACAUAUAAAAUAGCAGCUGGUACUCCAUAUCUUUACUGGUAUGUCCAGUAUCAACAUGAAGCUCCAGAAAUGUUGACCUAUAAUUACGCAAAGGAAGGAAAGCGAGGAUUUACUGCUAAAGUAGAAAACUCUGAUACCUACAAUCUGCAUAAAGAAGCAGCAGAACUGACUGACUCCGGGGUAUAUUUCUGUGCAGUGACACAGUGA